UACGUAGGGUGCAAGCGUUAAUCGGAAUUACUGGGCGUAAAGCGUGCGCAGGCGGCUUUGCAAGACAGAUGUGAAAUCCCCGGGCUCAACCUGGGAACUGCAUUUGUGACUGCAAGGCUAGAGUACGGUAGAGGGGGAUGGAAUUCCGCGUGUAGCAGUGAAAUGCGUAGAUAUGCGGAGGAACACCGAUGGCGAAGGCAAUCCCCCGGACCUGUACUGACGCUCAUGCACGAAAGCGUGGGGAGCAAACAGG
rnacentral:rRNA from 1 species